AUUGAACGCUGGCGGCAUGCUUUACACAUGCAAGUCGAACGGCAGCGCGGGCUUCGGCCUGGCGGCGAGUGGCGAACGGGUGAGUAAUACAUCGGAACGUGCCCAGUAGUGGGGGAUAGCUCGGCGAAAGCCGGAUUAAUACCGCAUACGACCUGAGGGUGAAAGCGGGGGAUCUUCGGACCUCGCGCUAUUGGAGCGGCCGAGGGCAGAUUAGCUAGUUGGUGGGGUAAAGGCCUACCAAGGCGACGAUCGGUAGCUGGUCUGAGUGGACGACCAGCCACACUGGAAGUGAGACACGGACCAGACGCCUACGGGAGGCAGCAGUGGGGAAUUUUGGACAAUGGGCGAAAGCCUGAUCCAGCAAUGCGGCGUGUGUGAUGAAGGCCUUCGGGUUGUAAAGCUCUUUUGGCGGGAACGAAAAGGACUGUGCCAAUACCACGGUUGGAUGACGGUACCCGCAGAAUAAGCACCGGCUAACUACGUG
rnacentral:rRNA from 1 species